AUUGAACGCUGGCGGCAGGCUUAACACAUGCAAGUCGAGCGGGGAAGGGUAGCUUGCUACCUGACCUAGCGGCGGACGGGUGAGUAAUGCUUAGGAAUCUGCCUAUUAGUGGGGGACAACAUUCCGAAAGGAAUGCUAAUACCGCAUACGCCCUACGGGGGAAAGCAGGGGAUCUUCGGACAUUGCGCUAAUAGAUGAGCCUCGGUCAGAAUAGCGAGUUGGUGGGGUAAAGGCCGACCAAGGCGACGAUCUGUAGCGGGCCUGAGAGGAUGAUCCGCCACACUGGGACUGAGACACGGCCCAGACUCCUACGGGAGGCAGCAGUGGGGAAUCUUGGACAAUGGGCGAAAGCCUGAGCCAGCCAUGCCGCGUGUGUGAAGAAGGCCUUUUGGUUGUAAAGCACUUUUGGCGAGGAGGAGGCGACUUGGGUUAAUACUCUAGGAUAGUGGACGUUACUCGAAGAAUAAGCACCGGCUAACUCUGUGCCAGCCGCCGCCGUAAUAC
rnacentral:rRNA from 1 species